rnacentral:rRNA from 1 species
UACGAAGGGGGCUAGCGUUGCUCGGAACGACUGGGCGUAAAGGGCGCGUAGGCGGAUGGCACAGUCAGAUGUGAAAUUCCUGGGCUUAACCUGGGGGCUGCAUUUGAUACGUGUUGUCUUGAGUGAGGAAGAGGGUCGUGGAAUUCCCAGUGUAGAGGUGAAAUUCGUAGAUAUUGGGAAGAACACCGGUGGCGAAGGCGGCGACCUGGUCCUUAACUGACGCUGAGGCGCGAAAGCGUGGGGAGCAAACAGG